rnacentral:rRNA from 1 species
GACGAACGCUGGCGGCGUGCUUAACACAUGCAAGUCGAACGGAAAGGCCCUGCUUGCCGGGUGCUCGAGUGGCGAACGGGUGAGUAACACGUGGGUGAUCUGCCCCUUACUUUGGGAUAAGCCUGGGAAACUGGGUCUAAUACUGGAUAGGACCAUGCUGUAGGUGGUGUGGUGGAAAGAUUAGUUUCGGUAAGGGAUGAGCUCGCGGCCUAUCAGCUUGUUGGUGGGGUAAUGGCCUACCAAGGCGUCGACGGGUAGCCGGCCUGAGAGGGUGGACGGCCACAUUGGGACUGAGGUACGGCCCAGACUCCUACGGGAGGCAGCAGUGGGGAAUAUUGCACAAUGGGCGCAAGCCUGAUGCAGCGACGCCGCGUGGGGGAUGACGGCCUUCGGGUUGUAAACUCCUUUCAGCCAUGACGAAGCCCUUGUGGUGACGGUAGUGGUAGAAGAAGCACCGGCUAACUACGUG